CUACACAGAUAGGCGGUACAUAUUCUAAAAUUGGAAUGAUACAGAGAAGGUUAGCAUGGCCCCUGCGCAAGGAUGACACGCAAAUUUGUGAUAUUAGGCAAUGACUG
rfam:Octopus bimaculoides Scaffold1036_contig_6, whole genome shotgun sequence.